CGUGGACCCGUGAUCCGGGUUGCGGACAGUGUCUGGUAGGUAGUUUGACUGGGGCGGUCUCCUCCUAAAGAGUAACGGAGGAGCACGAAGGUUGGCUAAUCCUGGUCGGACAUCAGGAGGUUAGUGCAAUGGCAUAAGCCAGCUUGACUGCGAGCGUGACGGCGCGAGCAGGUGCGAAAGCAGGUCAUAGUGAUCCGGUGGUUCUGAAUGGAAGGGCCAUCGCUCAACGGAUAAAAGGUACUCCGGGGAUAACAGGCUGAUACCGCCCAAGAGUUCAUAUCGACGGCGGUGUUUGGCACCUCGAUGUCGGCUCAUCACAUCCUGGGGCUGAAGUAGGUCCCAAGGGUAUGGCUGUUCGCCAUUUAAAGUGGUACGCGAGCUGGGUUUAGAACGUCGUGAGACAGUUCGGUCCCUAUCUGCCGUGGGCGCUGGAGAACUGAGGGGGGCUGCUCCUAGUACGAGAGGACCGGAGUGGACGCAUCACUGGUGUUCGGGUUGUCAUGCCAAUGGCACUGCCCGGUAGCUAAAUGCGGAAGAGAUAAGUGCUGAAAGCAUCUAAGCACGAAACUUGCCCCGAGAUGAGUUCUCCCUGACCCUUUAAGGGUCCUGAAGGAACGUUGAAGACGACGACGUUGAUAGGCCGGGUGUGUAAGCGCAGCGAUGCGUUGAGCUAACCGGUACUAAUGAACCGUGAGG
rnacentral:rRNA from 1 species